rnacentral:lncRNA from 1 species
CCACUUCGUAAGACCAUUUAUUACACUUUCUUAAACAUAAAUUUAUGUUAACAUAUUUAUUGAAUUUCAAUUAACAUUACAAGUUCAUACGUAGUUACAACAUUUUCACCUCACCCAUUUUCUCGUAUUCCUCGUAAAUUUACAUUGAACAUUCUAUUAUAAAUAUUAAGUACCAAUGUUUUUGAAUGAAUACUAAAUCAUGUUUUCAAUUUUCAAUUUUUUUUAUCACGUGUCUAAUUUAUUUCACAAUUAAAGUGUUAAAUGAAAGAAGGGUGUAAAUAAUAUUUUAUUUCAUAAAGCGAUAUCAUAUCAUCUUAUCUAUUCCUAUCUAUAUAAAAUUAUGUGUAACUUAAAAAUAUCUAAAAAUUGUCAAUGCAUAUAAUUGGCCUUAUUAAUUAAUUAAGAAUGUGUUGGCAUAACCUUUCUAAAACAAGUCAAGCUUUAAGACGAUGAUGGUGUGGAUGGUGGUAGAGUUGUCAUUUUUGUCUUGACAAUUAUUUUUUCUUCUUGAAAUCAUUCGUUUUUUGAUCUUUUUUGUAUUGUUAGGUUUUUUCCUUCCUCUUUUUGAAAAUCAAAUGAAAAAAAUUAAGUUUUUUAUUGAAAAAAAUAUAUUUUUAAGUAUUAUGAAUGACCACAUGGAAAGAAAUCAAGAUUUUUUUUAGAAAAAGACGUUAUGAGAUUAAAUAUAAUAUAAAUUUAUAUCACUCAUAUCAUUUGAUGAAAAAUUUUAAAGUCAAAAGAAUUGAUGGGAAAUAAUUAU